UACAGAGGUCCCAAGCGUUGUUCGGAUUCACUGGGCGUAAAGGGUGCGUAGGCGGUUGGGUAAGUCUGAUGUGAAAUCUCACAGCUUAACUGUGAAACUGCAUUGGAUACUAUCCGGCUAGAGGAAUGGAGGGGAGACUGGAAUACUUGGUGUAGCAGUGAAAUGCGUAGAUAUCAAGUGGAACACCAGUGGCGAAGGCGAGUCUCCGGACAUUUCCUGACGCUGAGGCACGAAAGCCAGGGGAGCAAACGGG
rnacentral:rRNA from 1 species